CGGGAGCCCGACUCGCGGGGAGGAGGCUCCGCGUUAGGUGCUGAAGGGGGCGAAGGCGGCAGGUCCUGGCAGAGGGCAGGAUGAUUGAGGAAAGUGGGAACAAGAGGAAGACCAUGGCAGAGAAGAGACAGCUCUUCAUAGAAAUGCGUGCUCAGAAUUUUGAUGUCAUACGACUGUCAACUUACAGAACAGCUUGCAAGUUACGAUUUGUACAGAAGCGAUGCAACCUUCAUCUCGUUGAUAUCUGGAACAUGAUUGAAGCUUUCCGAGACAAUGGCCUUAACACACUGGACCAUAGCACUGAGAUCAGCGUGUCCCGCCUCGAGACCGUCAUCUCCUCCAUCUACUAUCAGCUGAACAAGCGCCUUCCUUCCACCUACCAAAUAAGCGUGGGGCAGUCCAUCAGCCUCCUCCUCAACUUCAUGAUCGCCGCCUAUGACAGUGAGGGCCGAGGCAAGUUGACCGUAUUUUCAGUUAAAGCUAUGUUAGCAACCAUGUGUGGUGGAAAAAUGCUGGACAAAUUGAGAUACAUUUUCUCCCAGAUGUCGGAUUCCAAUGGCUUGAUGAUGUUUGGCAAGCUUGACCAGUUUCUGAAGGAAGCCCUGAAGCUGCCUACAGCUGUCUUUGAAGGACCGUCCUUUGGUUACACGGAACAUGCAGUCCGCACCUGUUUUCCACAACAGAAGAAGAUAAUGCUGAAUAUGUUUUUAGACACCAUGAUGGCGGAUCCUCCUCCCCAGUGCCUUGUCUGGCUACCUCUCAUGCACAGGCUUGCCCAUGUGGAGAAUGUCUUCCACCCUGUGGAGUGCUCCUACUGUCACAGCGAGAGCAUGAUGGGCUUCCGGUACCGCUGCCAGCAGUGCCACAACUACCAGCUCUGCCAGAACUGCUUUUGGCGUGGCCAUGCCAGUGGCACUCACAGCAACCAGCACCAGAUGAAGGAGCAUUCCUCUUGGAAAUCCCCUGCAAAGAAGCUGAGCCAUGCAAUUAGUAAAUCUUUGGGCUGUGUACCCUCCAGAGAACCCCCACAUCCUGUUUUUCCUGAGCAACCAGAGAAACCACUUGACCUUGCACACAUAGUUCCUCCUCGUCCUCUGACUAAUAUGAACGACACCGUGGUUAGCCACAUGUCCUCUGGAGUGCCCACUCCCACCAAGAGGUUACAGUAUAGCCAGGACAUGCCCAAUCUCUUGGCCGAUGAGCAUGCGUUGAUAGCCUCCUAUGUGGCCCGUCUGCAGCACUGCACACGUGUCCUGGAUAGUCCUAGCCGGCUGGAUGAGGAGCAUCGGCUGAUAGCGCGUUAUGCUGCCCGACUGGCUGCAGAGGCAGGCAACGUGACCCGGCCUCCCGCUGACGCCAGCUUCAACUUUGAUGCCAACAAGCAACAGAGACAACUCAUUGCGGAACUGGAAAACAAGAACAGAGAGAUCCUGCAGGAGAUCCAGCGCCUACGGCUGGAACAUGAGCAGGCUUCCCAGCCCACUCCUGAGAAGGCCCAGCAAAACCCCACGCUGCUAGCGGAGCUGCGCUUGCUGAGGCAAAGGAAAGAUGAACUGGAGCAGAGGAUGUCAGCACUGCAGGAGAGUAGGCGGGAGCUGAUGGUCCAGCUGGAGGGGCUGAUGAAGCUGCUAAAGGAGGAAGAGCAAAAGCAGGCAGCUCAAGCCACAGGGUCACCUCACACAUCACCCACUCAUGGAGGUGGCCGCCCUAUGCCCAUGCCCGUGCGUUCCACGUCCGCCGGCUCCACCCCUACCCAUGGCCCACAGGAUUCACUGAGUGGAGUUGGAGGAGACGUCCAGGAGGCCUUUGCACAAGGUACAAGGAGAAACCUCCGCAAUGACCUGCUGGUGGCUGCUGACUCGAUCACCAACACCAUGUCGUCCCUGGUGAAGGAGCUUCAUUCAGGGUUGAUGGUCUCGUUGGAGAAGCACAACUGAGGCAUGCAGAGGAAGUGUGGGAGAAGACAGCAGCAGAAGAGGUUAGCCAAGGAGCAGCCCGGACACAGGAUGCCCAGGCACAAAGGCCGAGGAGCAAGCUGGCACCGACAAGACAAGGGAAGGUCUUCCCCCAGAGGCACAUUCCUCUCCGUCUUUCUGCUGCACACCUGGACCAGGCUUGCAGGCUGCCAGACUCACUCCACCACCAGAGAGAGGAGCCAAGCCUAUGGGAAGUGGGGAGGGACUGCCUGAGGCCCCGGCUGGUGGGCCUCCUUGUGAGCCCUGCAUGCACUAGCAUCUGCAUUCCUCCCUCAGGGCAUGGUGUCAUCUCUGCAUCAGGAAUUUACCAGGAGGUGGAAAAGAAAAGAAAAAGCACCGAGCCUGA